CUGAGUUCAAGGUCACAACUUCCUUCUUGUUUCUCUCUUCUGGACAGCCCUAAUGGAGUCUGACCUAACAGAUGGAACAACUAACGAAUCUCUACAAGCAUUUUGGAACCAAAGAAGCAUCUACUAAAGAGAGGCCUAUCCCUGAUUGUAAGAGAAAAUGUGUUUUUCGGAACUCAGAUAACUACAUGAGACACUUGAGAUCUGAGAUGAAGUUUUGUUGACAUUGGGGAUAAACUACUAAAAUGCAAAGAAAAAGUCUCAUAUUAAUUUUGUUAAUUGCUAUUAUGUCAUGUUUGUUUUCUGUAAUACUAUAUCUGCAUACUUAGUACAGGGGAUUUAAGAUCAGGACAAUGACACUUUAUUCCAAAAUAUACCUCAACUGGCCUGAUACUUUGCCUCUACCUUUAUUCUAUCUGAAUUGGUGACAAAAUGGGGAUUGGCAACACAUAGUUUCCCUGACAAAAGCAAGGUUAAGCGAAAAGGGAGAUCAAAGGUUCACUAAUGUGUCUGUUCAUCAGGAAUGGUGGGGCAAAUCUAAUCUAUAUUUUCAAAGUUUCCU
rnacentral:lncRNA from 1 species